UGCAGGGCUCCAGUGAUGAUGAGAGCGAGGAGGUGAAGGGCUCCAGUGAUGGUGAGAGCGAGGAGGUGCAGGGCUCCAGUGAUGAUGAGAGCGAGGAGGUGAAGGGCUCCAGUAAUGGUGAGAGCGAGGAGGUACAGGGCUCCAGUGAUGGUGAGAGCGAGGAGGUGCAAGGCUCCAGUGAUGGUGAGAACGAGGAGGUGCAGGGCUCAGUGAUGGUGAGAGCAAGGAGGUGCAGGGCUCAGUGAUGGUGAGAACGAGGAGGUGCAGGGCUCCAGUGAUGGUGAGAACGAGGAGGUGCAGAGCUCCAGUGAUGGUGAGAGCGAGGAGGUGCAGAGCUCCAGUGAUGGUGAGAGCGAGGAGGUGCAGAGCUCCAGUGAUGGUGAGAGUGAGGAGGUGCAGAGCUCCAGUGAUGGUGAAAGUGAG